rnacentral:rRNA from 1 species
GACGGGGCCCGCACAAGCGGUGGGCAUGUGGUUUAAUUCGAUGCAACGCGAAGAACCUUACCUGGGCUUGACAUCCCGAGAAUCCCCUGGAAACAGGGGAGUGCCUUUCGGGGAACUCGGAGACAGGUGCUGCAUGGCUGUCGUCAGCUCGUGUCGUGAGAUGUUGGGUUAAGUCCCGCAACGAGCGCAACCCUUGUCUUUAAUUGCCAGCAUUCAGUUGGGCACUUUAAAGAGACUGCCGGUGUUAAGCCGGAGGAAGGUGGGGAUGACGUCAAGUCCUCAUGGCCUUUAUGCCCAGGGCUACACACGUGCUACAAUGGGUGGUACAAAGAGAUGCCAACUCGCGAGAGCGCGCCAAUCUCAGAAAGCCAUCCUCAGUUCGGAUUGGAGUCUGCAACUCGACUCCAUGAAGUUGGAAUCGCUAGUAAUCGCGGAUCAGCACGCCGCGGUGAAUACGUUCCCGGGCCUU